GACGUAGGGUGCAAGCGUUGUCCGGAAUUAUUGGGCGUAAAGAGCUUGUAGGCGGUUUGUCGCGUCUGCUGUGAAAUUUCGGGGCUCAACCCCGGACUUGCAGUGGGUACGGGCAGACUAGAGUGUGGUAGGGGAGACUGGAAUUCCUGGUGUAGCGGUGAAAUGCGCAGAUAUCAGGAGGAACACCGAUGGCGAAGGCAGGUCUCUGGGCCACUACUGACGCUGAGAAGCGAAAGCAUGGGGAGCGAACAGG
rnacentral:rRNA from 1 species